AUGCCCAAGAGGAAGGUCAGCUCUGCUGAAGGGGCGGCCAAGGAAGAGCCCAAGAGGAGAUCGGCCAGGAUGUCGUCUAAACCGGCUCCUGCGUAGGUGGACGCCAAGCUCAAGAAGGCAGCUGGCAAGGAGAAGUCAUCGGACAAGAAGGUGCAGGCCAAGGGCAGGAGAGGAGCAAAGGGCAAACAGGCCGAGGUGGCCAGCCAGGAAACUAAGGAAGAUGUACCCGGGGAAAACGGAGACACUAAAAAUAAGGAGAGUCCCGCCUCUGACCAAGCCGAAGAGAAGGAAGCCAAGUCCGAAUAAGACCACACACCACCUCUUACCAGUGCUCCCUGUCUCUCUUCUGGUACGAUCCAGAGGAAUAUUUCUAUCAACUAUUUUAUAAAUGCUAGAUUUUUAGUGGCACUAGAAACAUUUUUAAGAAGGAGGGAAGCCCACUCAUCCCAAUUUUUCAAGUGUAAAUGAUUUUGUUUAAGAGGUGAAAUCAUUGCUGGUUGUUUAUUUUUUUGGUACAACCAGAAAAUAGUGGGAUACU